GGCUAAUCUGAGUGCAGUGAUGUUUACAACUAAUUAUUGCAACCAGUUACAGAUUUCUUUGCUCCUUCUCCAUGCCCACUGCUUCACAUGACUGACUUUCA
ensembl:misc_RNA Y_RNA Y RNA